GAUGAACGCUAGCGGCAGGCUUAACACAUGCAAGUCGAGGGGUAUUGGUUUUCGGACCAAGAGACCGGCGCACGGGUGCGUAACGCGUAUGCAAUCUACCUUUUGCAGAGGGAUAGCCCCAGAGAAAUUUGGAUUAAUACCUCAUAGUGUAGUACUUUGGCAUCAAGGAACUAUUAAAGUCACAACGGCAAAGAUGAGCAUGCGUCCAUUAGCUAGUUGGUAAGGUAACGGCUUACCAAGGCUACGAUGGGUAGGGGUCCUGAGAGGGAGAUCCCCCCANACUGGUACUGAGACACGGACCAGACUCCUACGGGAGGCAGCAGUGAGGAAUAUUGGACAAUGGGCGCAAGCCUGAUCCAGCCAUGCCGCGUGCAGGAUGACGGUCCUAUGGAUUGUAAACUGCUUUUAUACAGGAAGAAACACUCCGACGUGUCGGAGCUUGACGGUACUGUAAGAAUAAGGAUCGGCUAACUCCGUGCCAGCAGCCGACGG
rnacentral:rRNA from 1 species